rnacentral:rRNA from 1 species
AGAAUCUUUCACAAUGGGCGAAAGCCUGAUGGAGCGACGCCGCGUGGGGGAUGAAGGGCUUCGGUCCGUAAACCCCUGUCAUCUGUGAACAACACUCUUUAUUUAAAAGAUGUAGAGCUGAUAGUAGCAGAAGAGGAAGGGACGGCUAACUCUGUGCCCGCAGCCGCGGUAAUACAGAGGUCCCAAGCGUUGUUCGGAUUCACUGGGCGUAAAGGGUGCGUAGGUGGCAGGGUAAGUUUGAUGUGAAAUCUCCGGGCUCAACCCGGAAAAUGCAUUGAAUACUACUCAGCUCGAGGGUCGGAAGGGAGACUGGAAUUCUCGGUGUAGCAGUGAAAUGCGUAGAUAUCGAGAGGAACACCAGUGGCGAAGGCGAGUCUCUGGACGACACCUGACACUGAGGCACGAAAGCUAGGGGAGCAAAC